CAGGCUUAACACAUGCAAGUCGAGGGGCAUCAGGAAGAAAGCUUGCUUUCUUUGCUGGCGACCGGCGCACGGGUGAGUAACACGUAUCCAACCUGCCCUUUACUCGGGGAUAGCCUUUCGAAAGAAAGAUUAAUACCCGAUGGCAUAAUGAUUCCGCAUGGUUUCAUUAUUAAAGGAUUCCGGUAAAGGAUGGGGAUGCGUUCCAUUAGGUUGUUGGUGAGGUAACGGCUCACCAAGCCUUCGAUGGAUAGGGGUUCUGAGAGGAAGGUCCCCCACAUUGGAACUGAGACACGGUCCAAACUCCUACGGGAGGCAGCAGUGAGGAAUAUUGGUCAAUGGGCGCUAGCCUGAACCAGCCAAGUAGCGUGAAGGAUGAAGGCUCUAUGGGUCGUAAACUUCUUUUAUAUAAGAAUAAAGUGCAGUAUGUAUACUGUUUUGUAUGUAUUAUAUGAAUAAGGAUCGGCUAACUCCGUGCCAGCAGCCGCGGUAAUACGGAGGAUCCGAGCGUUAUCCGGAUUUAUUGGGUUUAAAGGGAGCGUAGGUGGACUGGUAAGUCAGUUGUGAAAGUUUGCGGCUCAACCGUAAAAUUGCAGUUGAUACUGUCAGUCUUGAGUACAGUAGAGGUGGGCGGAAUUCGUGGUGUAGCGGUGAAAUGCUUAGAUAUCACGAAGAACUCCGAUUGCGAAGGCAGCUCACUGGACUGCAACUGACACUGAUGCUCGAAAGUGUGGGUAUCAAACAGGAUUAGAUACCCUGGUAGUCCACACAGUAAACGAUGAAUACUCGCUGUUUGCGAUAUACAGUAAGCGGCCAAGCGAAAGCAUUAAGUAUUCCACCUGGGGAGUACGCCGGCAACGGUGAAACUCAAAGGAAUUGACGGGGGCCCGCACAAGCGGAGGAACAUGUGGUUUAAUUCGAUGAUACGCGAGGAACCUUACCCGGGCUUAAAUUGCAGUGGAAUGAUGUGGAAACAUGUCAGUGAGCAAUCACCGCUGUGAAGGUGCUGCAUGGUUGUCGUCAGCUCGUGCCGUGAGGUGUCGGCUUAAGUGCCAUAACGAGCGCAACCCUUAUCUUUAGUUACUAACAGGUUAUGCUGAGGACUCUAGAGAGACUGCCGUCGUAAGAUGUGAGGAAGGUGGGGAUGACGUCAAAUCAGCACGGCCCUUACGUCCGGGGCUACACACGUGUUACAAUGGGGGGUACAGAAGGCAGCUAGCGGGUGACCGUAUGCUAAUCCCAAAAGCCUCUCUCAGUUCGGAUCGAAGUCUGCAACCCGACUUCGUGAAGCUGGAUUCGCUAGUAAUCGCGCAUCAGCCACGGCGCGGUGAAUACGUUCCCGGGCCUUGUACACACCGCCCGUCAAGCCAUGGGAGCCGGGGGUACCUGAAGUACGUAACCGCAAGGAUCGUCCUAGGGUAAAACUGGUGACUGGGGCUA
rnacentral:rRNA from 1 species